rnacentral:rRNA from 1 species
UACGUAGGCAGCGAGCGUUGUUCGGAAUUACUGGGCGUAAAGAGUGUGUAGGCGGUGCUCUAAGUUCGGUGUGAAAUCUCCCGGCUCAACUGGGAGGGUGCGCCGAAUACUGAAUGACUAGAGUGCGGGAGAGGAGAGUGGAAUUCCUGGUGUAGCGGUGAAAUGCGUAGAUAUCAGGAGGAACACCGGUGGUGUAGACGGCUCUCUGGACCGUAACUGACGCUGAGGCACGAAAGCGUGGGGAGCAAACAGG